rnacentral:rRNA from 1 species
CUACGGAGGGUCCAAGCGUUAUCCGGAAUCAUUGGGUUUAAAGGGUCCGCAGGCGGUCAAUUAAGUCAGAGGUGAAGGCCCAUCGCUCAACGAUGGAACUGCCUUUGAUACUGGUUGACUUGAGUUAUACGGAAGUAGAUAGAAUAAGUAGUGUAGCGGUGAAAUGCAUAGAUAUUACUUAGAAUACCGAUUGCGAAGGCAGUCUACUACGUAUAUACUGACGCUGAGGGACGAAAGCGUGGGGAGCGAACAGGAUUAGAAACCCUUGUAGUCC